rnacentral:lncRNA from 1 species
ACGACGGUCAUGGGUACCCACCCGGUGGCCAGGGGGGAUACCCUCCGCAAGGGUACCCGCCGCAGCAGGGAGGUUACCCUCCACAGCAAGGAUACCCGCCUGCACCUGGAGCUUACCCACCUGCACCUGGGGCAUACCCUCCUGCACCUGGGGCAUACCCUCCUGCGCCCGGAGCGGGUGGCAGUGACGGGGAGAAGGGGCUCCUCUCCAACAUCAUGCACGGUGUUGCCGGUGCUCAUGGUGGUGGCCAUGGCUACCCAUCUGGUGGCCACGGGUACCCCCCGCAGCAGCAUGGAUACCCUCAGCAAGGCUACCCUCCUCAGCAUGGCUACCCACCGCAACAGCAUGGCUACCCUCCACAGCAGCAUGGCUAUCCCCCUGCUGGCUACCCUGGCUCAUCUGGUAUAUACCACUCCCUUGUUUUUCAGUCAUUGAUAUUGAUAAGGAUCUGUGCAAAGCCAUCAUAGCACCCUCUCUGUUAGGAACAUUUACAUUUCCACGAUUUCUAUGCAUUUAUAUGUGUAGUAUGUGCUGGAUUGAUAUGCAUUUAGAUGUGUAGUAUGCGCUGCAUCUUCAACAGCCUGCAAUUUCAGUCUAGUAUAUGAGUGGUGGUUUAUCUUGAUGUUAAAGAGUCCCAAGUUCUGUUGUAUCAAACUUGUGUCAUUCUUCAGCAUCCGUCCUCAUCGGCUAUUGUUUUUUCAGGUCACAGUGGUAGCCAUGGAGGAGGAGGCAUGGGCAUGGGCGGCAUGCUAGCUGGAGGCGCAGCAGCUGCUGCCGCCGCUUACGGAGCACACAAGAUUUCUCACGGCGGCCACGGUGGAGGUGGACACAUGAUGGGAGGCAUGAUGGGCGGCCAUGGAGGCUAUGGCGGCGGGUACGGCCACCACGGCGGCAAGUUCAAGCACGGGAAGCACGGCCACGGCAAGUUCAAGCACGGCAAGCAUGGGAAGCACGGCAUGUUCGGCGGCGGCGGAAAGUUCAAGAAGUGGAAGUAAUGCGCUAGCUAGUAGCUUCACCAUGGCUGAUGAAUCAAAAAAAUAC